rnacentral:rRNA from 1 species
AGCGAACGCUGGCGGCAGGCCUAACACAUGCAAGUCGAACGAAGUCUUCGGACUUAGUGGCGGACGGGUGAGUAACACGUGGGAACGUGCCUUUAGGUUCGGAAUAACUCAGGGAAACUUGUGCUAAUACCGAAUGUGCCCUUCGGGGGAAGAUUUGUCGCCUUUAGAGCGGCCCGCGUUCUGAUUAGCUAGUUGGUGAGGUAAGGGCUCACCAAGGCGACGAUCAGUAGCGGGUCUGAGAGGAUGAUCAGCCACAUUGGGACUGAGACACGGCCCAAACUCCUACGGGAGGCAGCAGUGGGGGAUCUUGCGCAAUGGGCGAAAGCCUGACGCAGCCAUGCCGCGUGAAUGAUGAAGGUCUUAGGAUUGUAAAAUUCUUUCACCGGGGACGAUAAUGACGGUACCUGGAGAAGAAGCCCCGGCUAACUUCGUGCCAGCCGCCGCUGUAAUAC